GCCGGAGUGGUGGAAUUGGUAGACACGUCGGAUUCAAAAUCCGAUGCCCUUAAAAGCGUGCCGGUUCGAGUCCGGCCUCCGGUA
rnacentral:tRNA from 1 species